GACGAACGCUGGCGGCGUGCUUAACACAUGCAAGUCGAACGGAAAGACCCUGCUUUUGUGGGGUGCUCGAGCGGCGAACGGGUGAGUAACACGUGAGUAACCUGCCCUUGACUUUGGGAUAACUUCAGGAAACUGGGGCUAAUACCGGAUAGGAGCUCCUGCUGCAUGGUGGGGGUUGGAAAGUUUCGGCGGUUGGGGAUGGACUCGCGGCUUAUCAGCUUGUUGGUGGGGUAGUGGCUUACCAAGGCUUUGACGGGUAGCCGGCCUGAGAGGGUGACCGGCCACAUUGGGACUGAGAUACGGCCCAGACUCCUACGGGAGGCAGCAGUGGGGAAUAUUGCACAAUGGGCGGAAGCCUGAUGCAGCAACGCCGCGUGCGGGAUGACGGCCUUCGGGUUGUAAACCGCUUUCGCCUGUGACGAAGCGUGAGUGACGGUAAUGGGUAAAGAAGCACCGGCUAACUACGUG
rnacentral:rRNA from 1 species